rnacentral:lncRNA from 14 species
CCCAAUAGGGAGAGCUUUGAGCUGGCACCUUCCCGUGCCAGGCACCCACAGGGCACCCAGAGCACCCAGGGCACCCAGAGAGCACCCAGAGAGCACCCAGAGCAGAGAGGACACAGUCCCUAUGGGACAGCCUCAGUCACCCCCAGCCCACCCCUACAAAAGGGGACUUGGCACCAUCCCACACCAAUGGAGCUCCCUACAGCCACCGUGCACCCCAUAACACCCGGAAACCCCCUCAGACCUCCCUGAGCAUCCCCUGAGCCACACAAAGCCCCAUUCACCCCCAGCCAGGGCAGAGCCUGAGCACCCCACAGCGCACCCCACACCAGCCCAUAGUGCACAGUGAUUUGGGAAUGGAGGGUCCCCAAAGCCCCUUCCCCACCUCACUGCAGGAGCCCCCAAGCCCUGCAGCUCCCAUUGAGCCAUGAGCCAAGCUUUGCUGUGCAGCCAGGACCCCAGGUCUGAGCACCCAUGGGUGCCAUGGGGCAGCCCCUCAGUAACUGUGGUCCCAGCAGGGCCCCGCAGCAGAGCCUAAAGCAGGGGCUGGGGUUGGGGCUGGGCAGGAGCGAGGACAACGUCCCCAUGCAGGGAAGGGACCGGUAGGGACCCAGUAGGGAUGCGGUUGGGUCUAUGCUAUGGAGCAUGGUCCUGGUGUCCUCACAGGCUGAGGAAGUCCUCCUUCCGGUACCCCUUCUGCAAGGACACACGGACACAGUCACCCCCUGCCUGUGCCUCACUGGGGCUGGGGGUGUGAGCAUGGACCCACUGUGCUCCAGCAUCAACCCCAGCAGGGCAGGUACCAUCAUGGGGAUGAUGCUCUGGGGACAUCCCAGCCCUUUAGGAGGGGGGAUCUGGGACCUGGAAGCAUUU